GAAGAACCUUACCAACCCUUGACAUGGUGGUCGCGGAUCGCAGAGAUGCUUUCCUUCAGUUCGGCUGGACCACACACAGGUGUUGCAUGGCUGUCGUCAGCUCGUGUCGUGAGAUGUUGGGUUAAGUCCCGCAACGAGCGCAACCCUCAUUCUUAUUUGCCAGCGGGUAAUGCCGGGAACUAUAAGAAAACUGCCGGUGAUAAGCCGGAGGAAGGUGGGGACGACGUCAAGUCAUCAUGGCCCUUACGGGUUGGGCUACACGCGUGCUACAAUGGUGUUUACAGAGGGAGGCAAGACGGCGACGUGGAGCAAAUCCCUAAAAAACAUCUCAGUUCGGAUUGUUCUCUGCAACUCGAGAGCAUGAAGUGGAAUCGCUAGUAAUCGCGGAUCAGCAUGCC
rnacentral:rRNA from 1 species